CUUCCUUUCUCGGUGGAUUCACCAGAGGAAUCUGUGCUUAAACUAAUUCCAUAUGUUACGAAAAAAAAAGUAUAGAAUUUGCUGCAGAAAAUCCUUAGACCUGAUCAGCGGUCUACAGAAAAUGAAUCUGCUGUGGAUUUCAAGUUUUAUCUUGCCAAACACCAGUGUAAGCUCAAAAACAUCCGUUUUCACCAAAACUAAUUUGUGCAUGACUUUUGAG